CCCCAUAGUCUGGGAUACCACUUGGAAACAGGUGCUAAUACCGGAUAAGAAAGCGGAUCGCAUGAUCAGCUUUUAAAAGGCGGCGUAAGCUGUCGCUAUGGGAUGGCCCCGCGGUGCAUUAGCUAGUUGGUAAGGUAAAGGCUUACCAAGGCGAUGAUGCAUAGCCGAGUUGAGAGACUGAUCGGCCACAUUGGGACUGAGACACGGCCCAAACUCCUACGGGAGGCAGCAGUA
rnacentral:rRNA from 1 species